rnacentral:rRNA from 1 species
UGGCGAAUAUUGCGCAGGCAGCAGUGGGGAAUAGCACACAAUGCGCGAGAACGAAGAGCACCAUAGGCUCGUAAAGUUCGAAGGUUUUUGGAUAAGAAAGAUGUGUUACUGGCGAAUCAAAUGGCGGUUAAAUACAGAGGAAGCCCGGGCAAACUCGGUCCCGCCAGCGGGGUUAAUACUGGGGGGGCGAGCUUUUCUGGGAAUACUUGGGGUUAAGGGGCCGUCGGGCGUCUAUCAAAUUGAGGUGUGAAGGCUCCGGGUCUACCGUAGUAAUCGCAUUUCAGAGGAGGUCUUGAGAGCAGGAGAGGAAAGUGGAAUUUCCAGUGUAGCGGUGAAAAUGGUAGAUGAGGGAGGAACUCCAGUAGCGAAGGGCGCUUUCCGGGGAAUGUAUGACCGUUCACACGAAAAGCUGGGUAGCCAACCAGGAUAGAUUCCCUGGUAGUUCCCCCUGUAAACGAUGAUCGAUAGGGGGCGGGGGGUACAACUCUCGCGCCCGCAGCUAACGCGAUAAAUAGUCCGCCUGGGGAGUACGCACGCAAGUUG